GUGAAAUUAAACAAAAAGUAUGCACCAACAAUAUCAAAGUGAUGUAUAGUGAUAGCAACCAUUGACUAAAAAAUACCUUAUCACACGAUCCAUCGGAAACAAACUCUUUACCUUUUAGGCGAGAGUAAGGUUUACGUACACACUAUCCUCUCCAGACCCCACUUAUAAGAUUACACUGGGUUUAUUGUUGUUUUUGUACCGGGGGAAUAAAAACUAUUAAGACAAAACAGGACAAAACUUCCCUUAAGUGAAAUUUUUUUGUAAGAUGGGGUGACAAUACCGAAUGUAACAUCUCUCCUACCUGAUGAAUCAUCGGGACAUGCCUCUAGCAUCCAUCGCAUUUUCGAACGAACUCCUUUGCAUCUUUUUCCACCACCUCAAACUCCAUGUAUUUUAAAUUCAAUAGCAGGAAAAUAGAGAAAAAAGAAAAAAGGCUAGUGGAAGGGACUAUAAAAUGACAGAUGACAAGGAAAGAAACAACAAAAGAACUACGCAAUAUAUAGCUAAACAAUAAAGAUACCUGUAAAAGAACUAUAAUUAUAUAAAUCAAAACUAACAUUAAAGAAAAGACAACAACAAAAGCUUUAUUAAUAAAAGUAAGUAUAAAACUAAAGGAAAGAGAUAAUCGAGAGGGUUUGUACUAUGUAGAGAGCUUUUGUUGAAUAAAUUUUUAUAAAGCUUGACUUUUAAACUAUAAAAUUUGUCUAAGAAAUAAUUCUUAAUUAAGAAAUUACUUUUAAAAUCAGUUGUUUAUUCUUACAUAAAUUUUUAAGUUAUAAGAGUUAUUUAUCAAAAAACAAAAUUAGAUUAAAAAAGAGUCAAAUAAACCACACGGAUAGUUUUGUUUGCCAAAUAGUUUGGAGUAUUAUCACUUCUAGCCCGCGUCGGAAACUAUUUACAUAGGUAGCCGAAAAAGUAGAUAAAAUUUAUAUAUAACAUACAGAAUGUAUAUAUAUACAAAAAAUAUACAAAUUUUAUAUAUUUUUCGGCUAUUAUUUUUACAGUGGCUAUACAGUGUCAUUUUUCCAAAUAGUUUUGGGAAACAAAAUGGGCAAAUAAAAAUAUUUAAACAUGGAUCUGAUCCAUGAACAUCUCAAUUUGAACACCCAAGAUCCCUAGGCUACCUCACCCAACUGUAUUAAGGAUGUUCAAAAUAUAAUAUAUAAUUAUAUAGAGUAGUAUUUGACCUAUAUACGCAUUAUAAUUUUCCGGCAAAGGAUGUUCGCUUAGGAUCCGAAUUUGCUCCAGUAACACAUCCUCCAUUAUUUUUCAAUAGGGAUCUCUAGUUUGUUUGGUAUUGCAUUUCUAUAAGAAAUUUAUCAUCUUUCAAUCUUGUAGAGAGUUUGAUAAUAUUCAAGAAAAGAAAAUGUGUUCCACCAUAAGUUGAGAACCCACGCGGUGGGAUUCCUUCUGUUUAUGCUUCAAGUAAGCUAACAAUUUAGCAAUAAGGUACCACAAAUACAACAGCCGAUCCAAUCAGGACGAUGGGCUCUGCUGGUUAGAUUCCUCUCCAGGCAUCCCUGACAUUGAGUUGUUCCCAGGAAAGGAAAUAGAAGCAGCAACAUGGGGACUUAGCCCAGAGUAAGCUCCAUUAGCGCGUUCUUCAGAAAUGGGAGGGGCAGGAAUAGCAGCAAAAGCAGCUGCAUGCUCGAUCCACUGCUUCUCUCGAUUCUGCUCCAGCUGGUGACCGGCUGGAAAGCUACCAACAAUAACCUGAUGCACUCAAGAUGUUACAGAUUAGUUUUGCAAGCUCACUAACAUGGAUGCAUAUUGCGCACAAAAAAAAAGAGAGAUCAAUUAUGUUUUUUGUGUUGCAAUGCCAGUCAAUCAUCUCCACUGUCGUAAAUUCCAAAGAUCAUAAAUAGUCCCAAAACUGCUUGUUAGCCUAACAACUUGUUGGGAUAAGAAUAGCAAUGAGCUAAGAAAGCUGGGUAGUUCCAUUCUAACCUGAACGAGGCUAGCGGCUACCAACAAGCCUGCAAGUCCUCCUCCUAUAACCUGACCAUCAGGGUCUGAAAGAGAGACACUCAGUCCACCAGAUCUGCUUGUUGUUACUCCAUCAUCACUUGGCAUAAAUGAUCCCCUUAGAGAGAGAAUAUCAAAACGACCCUGAAGCAAAAUCAUAAUUUGGAUAAGAAGAAAUGCUAAUGAUGAACAUUCCAUCAUAGUUCUUGCUUUCAUUCCCAGUGGGAAAUAAGUAUUUCGAUUCAUAUAGUAGAAAAGAAAAUGGCAUUUCUUCCCUCAAGAGUUGAAGGUCCGUGCUUUAAAUUUACAAGUAAAAUGUAACUAUUACUUUUAAAAAAAUAUUCCAACGGCAAAAAUAGAACAUAGACAGAACAGGGUGCCUUGGCAAAACAACAAACAACAUAUUGAUUUUUUCCUUGUUUUAUUCAUUUGGUAUGUAUGUGGUGCAGUAGCCCCGUAAACUGAUUGAA
rnacentral:lncRNA from 1 species